CACCGAAGUCAAGCAUCAUUGGGCGCGGUCAGUACUUGGGUGGGUGGCCACCUGGGAACACUGCGUGCCGUU